rnacentral:rRNA from 1 species
UACGUAGGGGGCAAGCGUUGUCCGGAUUUAUUGGGCGUAAAGCGCUCGCAGGUGGUUCGAUGCGUCGUGCGUGAAAGCCCCCCGGCUCAACUGGGGAGUGUCGUGCGAUACGGUCGGACUGGAGGCCAGUAGGGGGAUGCGGAAUUCCGUGGUGUAGCGGUGAAAUGCGCGAUAUCGAGGAAGAACCGAGCCCGUAGGCGGAAGGCGGUUCGUCCAUGGAACG